rnacentral:rRNA from 1 species
GCCUACGGGGCGCAGCAGUAGGGAAUCUUCCACAAUGGGCGAAAGCCUGAUGGAGCAACGCCGCGUGGGUGAAGAAGGUCUUCGGAUCGUAAAACCCUGUUGUUAGAGAAGAAAGUGCGUGAGAGUAACUGUUCACGUUUCGACGGUAUCUAACCUGAAAGCCACGGCUAACUACGUGCCAGCAGCCGCGGUAAUACGUAGGUGGCAAGCGUUACCCGGAUUUAUUGGGCGUAAAGAGAACGCAGGCGGUCUUUUAAGUCUGAUGUGAAAGCCUUCGGCUUAACCGGAGGAGUGCAUUGGAAACU